rnacentral:rRNA from 1 species
GAUGAACGCUGGCGGCGUGCCUAAUACAUGCAAGUCGAGCGAACAGACGAGGAGCUUGCUCCUCUGACGUUAGCGGCGGACGGGUGAGUAACACGUGGAUAACCUACCUAUAAGACUGGGAUAACUUCGGGAAACCGGAGCUAAUACCGGAUAAUAUAUUGAACCGCAUGGUUCAAUAGUGAAAGACGGUUUUGCUGUCACUUAUAGAUGGAUCCGCGCCGCAUUAGCUAGUUGGUAAGGUAACGGCUUACCAAGGCAACGAUGCGUAGCCGACCUGAGAGGGUGACCGGCCACCCUGGAACGGAGACACGGUCCAGACUCCUACGGGAGGCAGAAGUAGGGAAUCUUCCGAAAGGGGCGAAAGCCAGACGGAGCAACGCCGCGUGAGUGAUGAAGGUCUUCGGAUCGUAAAACUCUAUUAUUAGGGAAGAACAAAUGUGUAAGUAACUAUGCACGUCUUGACGGUACCUAAUCAGAAAGCCACGGCUAACUACG